UCUGGAAAGGCGCGCGAUACAGGGUGACAGCCCCGUACACAAAAAUGCACAUAUUGUGAGCUCGAUGAGUAGGGCGGGACACGUGGUAUCCUGUCUGAAUAUGGGGGGACCAUCCUCCAAGGCUAAAUACUCCUGACUGACCGAUAGUGAACCAGUACCGUGAGGGAAAGGCGAAAAGAACCCCGGCGAGGGGAGUGAAAAAGAACCUGAAACCGUGUACGUACAAGCAGUGGGAGCCUCUUUAUGGGGUGACUGCGUACCUUUUGUAUAAUGGGUCAGCGACUUAUAUUCUGUAGCAAGGUUAACCGAAUAGGGGAGCCGAAGGGAAACCGAGUCUUAACUGGGCGUUAAGUUGCAGGGUAUAGACCCGAAACCCGGUGAUCUAGCCAUGGGCAGGUUGAAGGUUGGGUAACACUAACUGGAGGACCGAACCGACUAAUGUUGAAAAAUUAGCGGAUGACUUGUGGCUGGGGGUGAAAGGCCAAUCAAACCGGGAGAUAGCUGGUUCUCCCCGAAAGCUAUUUAGGUAGCGCCUCGUGAAUUCAUCUCCGGGGGUAGAGCACUGUUUCGGCAAGGGGGUCAUCCCGACUUACCAACCCGAUGCAAACUGCGAAUACCGGAGAAUGUUAUCACGGGAGACACACGGCGGGUGCUAACGUCCGUCGUGAAGAGGGAAACAACCCAGACCGCCAGCUAAGGUCCCAAAGUCAUGGUUAAGUGGGAAACGAUGUGGGAAGGCCCAGACAGCCAGGAUGUUGGCUUAGAAGCAGCCAUCAUUUAAAGAAAGCGUAAUAGCUCACUGGUCGAGUCGGCCUGCGCGGAAGAUGUAACGGGGCUAAACCAUGCACCGAAGCUGCGGCAGCGACACUAUGUGUUGUUGGGUAGGGGAGCGUUCUGUAAGCCUGUGAAGGUGGCCUGUGAGGGUUGCUGGAGGUAUCAGAAGUGCGAAUGCUGACAUAAGUAACGAUAAAGCGGGUGAAAAGCCCGCUCGCCGGAAGACCAAGGGUUCCUGUCCAACGUUAAUCGGGGCAGGGUGAGUCGACCCCUAAGGCGAGGCCGAAAGGCGUAGUCGAUGGGAAACAGGUUAAUAUUCCUGUACUUGGUGUUACUGCGAAGGGGGGACGGAGAAGGCUAUGUUGGCCGGGCGACGGUUGUCCCGGUUUAAGCGUGUAGGCUGGUUUUCCAGGCAAAUCCGGAAAACCAAGGCUGAGGCGUGAUGACGAGGCACUACGGUGCUGAAGCGACAAAUGCCCUGCUUCCAGGAAAAGCCUCUAAGCAUCAGGUAACAUCAAAUCGUACCCCAAACCGACACAGGUGGUCAGGUAGAGAAUACCAAGGCGCUUGAGAGAACUCGGGUGAAGGAACUAGGCAAAAUGGUGCCGUAACUUCGGGAGAAGGCACGCUGAUAUGUAGGUGAAGCGACUUGCUCGUGGAGCUGAAAUCAGUCGAAGAUACCAGCUGGCUGCAACUGUUUAUUAAAAACACAGCACUGUGCAAACACGAAAGUGGACGUAUACGGUGUGACGCCUGCCCGGUGCCGGAAGGUUAAUUGAUGGGGUUAGCGGUAACGCGAAGCUCUUGAUCGAAGCCCCGGUAAACGGCGGCCGUAACUAUAACGGUCCUAAGGUAGCGAAAUUCCUUGUCGGGUAAGUUCCGACCUGCACGAAUGGCGUAAUGAUGGCCAGGCUGUCUCCACCCGAGACUCAGUGAAAUUGAACUCGCUGUGAAGAUGCAGUGUACCCGCGGCAAGACGGAAAGACCCCGUGAACCUUUACUAUAGCUUGACACUGAACAUUGAGCCUUGAUGUGUAGGAUAGGUGGGAGGCUUUGAAGUGUGGACGCCAGUCUGCAUGGAGCCGACCUUGAAAUACCACCCUUUAAUGUUUGAUGUUCUAACGUUGGCCCGUAAUCCGGGUUGCGGACAGUGUCUGGUGGGUAGUUUGACUGGGGCGGUCUCCUCCUAAAGAGUAACGGAGGAGCACGAAGGUUGGCUAAUCCUGGUCGGACAUCAGGAGGUUAGUGCAAUGGCAUAAGCCAGCUUGACUGCGAGCGUGACGGCGCGAGCAGGUGCGAAAGCAGGUCAUAGUGAUCCGGUGGUUCUGAAUGGAAGGGCCAUCGCUCAACGGAUAAAAGGUACUCCGGGGAUAACAGGCUGAUACCGCCCAAGAGUUCAUAUCGACGGCGGUGUUUGGCACCUCGAUGUCGGCUCAUCACAUCCUGGGGCUGAAGUAGGUCCCAAGGGUAUGGCUGUUCGCCAUUUAAAGUGGUACGCGAGCUGGGUUUAGAACGUCGUGAGACAGUUCGGUCCCUAUCUGCCGUGGGCGCUGGAGAACUGAGGGGGGCUGCUCCUAGUACGAGAGGACCGGAGUGGACGCAUCACUGGUGUUCGGGUUGUCAUGCCAAUGGCACUGCCCGGUAGCUAAAUGCGGAAGAGAUAAGUGCUGAAAGCAUCUAAGCACGAAACUUGCCCCGAGAUGAGUUCUCCCUGACUCCUUGAGAGUCCUGAAGGAACGUUGAAGACGACGACGUUGAUAGGCCGGGUGUGUAAGCGCAGCGAUGCGUUGAGCUAACCGGUACUAAUGAACCGUGAGG
rnacentral:rRNA from 1 species